NNUCAGUCGGUAGAGCGCUGGCCUUUUAAGCCAGUGGUCGUGGGUUCGAGCCCCAC
rnacentral:tRNA from 1 species